CCUAGUAUUUAGGAUGCUGUAUAUAAAUAAGUGUAGAGCGAGUCACUAUUACUACAUAACAGGCCUUCCUCUAACAACAGCACGACCAAAACAGAGCGGCUAGCUUGAUAUCCAAAGACUACCAAACUACUUUUCUAAUAUCUCGACUGACUUUACAAGAUGAAGACCUCAUUCUUAGCUGUUGUCAUGGUGAUGUGUAUACUUCUACCUUACACACAAGCUAUGGUUGGAUGUGAUUUUUGUAAUGAAGAAGCCCAGAAAUGCCUAACGGCCUGUGAAGGCUUUGAGGGUUGCACAGCUUGCUCAAGUUUCACAGGUCUCUGUCUUAAAAACUGCAUGCGUAAGAAGCGAACCCUAGGAGAAGCCUUCCAGAAACGACUCCGGCUUAGAGUUCAGGAAAAAGAUGGCCAUUAAAUCGAGAAAGAAUCCUCGCCCCUCCACUCCAUGAACAACCCUCCAUUAUAGGCAACGUCGACAACACCGUAAGAAGAGGUCCUACCUAUCAAAACCAUGUCGACAAAUUAUUAUUCCCCAGUAUUUUCCCCAGCAUUUUUACAGAACCUAGGCUUAAAAGGAUUUGAAUAAAGACGGAAAGUUCUUUUGAAUUGUCUAGCUAGUAAUGGAUUAUUUGAACCAUUGUACGAGACAUCUUGUUUGUAAAAGCAGUUUUGUGCAUUGUUUCCUGAAUAAAAGUAAAUAUGCAUGAUUA